rnacentral:rRNA from 1 species
UACCAAAGGCCGGGCAACCGGUCACUGAAGGAUGGGCCUGCGUCUGAUUAGCUAGUUGGUGGGGUAACGGCUCACCAAGGCGACGAUCAGUAGCCGAUCUGAGAGGAUGAACGGCCACAUUGGGACUGAGACACGGCCCAAACUCCUACGGGAGGCAGCAGUGGGGAAUCUUCCGCAAUGGGCGCAAGCCUGACGGAGCAACGCCGCGUGAGUGAAGAAGGUUUUCGGAUCGUAAAGCUCUGUUGAGAGGGACGAGAGGCAAGGCUAGGAAAUGAGCUUUGUAGGACGGUACCUUUCGAGGAAGCCACGGCUAACUACGUGCCAGCAGCCGCGGUAAUACGUAGGUGGCGAGCGUUGUCCGGAAUUAUUGGGCGUAAAGGGAGCGCAGGUGGGAAAGUAAGUCAGUCUUAAAAGUGCGGGGCUCAACCCCGUGAGGGGAUUGAAACUACUUUUCUUGAGUGCAGGAGAGGAAAGCGGAAUUCCUAGUGUAGCGGUGAAAUGCGUAGAUAUUAGGAGGAACACCAGUGGCGAAGGCGGCUUUCUGGACUGUAACUGACACUGAGGCUCGAAAGCCAGGGGAGCGAACGGGAUUAGAUACCCCGGUAGUCCUGGCCGUAAACGAUGGAUACUAGGUGUAGGAGGUAUCGACCCCUUCUGUGCCGGAGUUAACGCAAU